UACGGGGGGGGCAAGCGUUGUUCGGAAUUACUGGGCGUAAAGGGCUCGUAGGCGGCCAACUAAGUCAGACGUGAAAUCCCUCGGCUUAACCGGGGAACUGCGUCUGAUACUGGAUGGCUUGAGAUUGGGAGAGGGAUGCGGAAUUCCAGGUGUAGCGGUGAAAUGCGUAGAUAUCUGGAGGAACACCGGUGGCGAAGGCGGCAUCCUGGACCAACACUGACGCUGAGGAGCGAAAGCCAGGGGGAGCAAACGGG
rnacentral:rRNA from 1 species